rnacentral:rRNA from 1 species
GACGUAGGGCGCGAGCGUUGUCCGGAUUUAUUGGGCGUAAAGAGCUCGUAGGCGGCUUGUCGCGUCGACUGUGAAAUCCCGCGGCUCAACUGCGGGUCUGCAGUCGAUACGGGCAGGCUAGAGUUCGGUAGGGGAGACUGGAAUUCCUGGUGUAGCGGUGAAAUGCGCAGAUAUCAGGAGGAACACCGGUGGCGAAGGCGGGUCUCUGGGCCGAUACUGACGCUGAGGAGCGAAAGCGUGGGGAGCAAACGGG